rnacentral:rRNA from 1 species
AUUGAACGCUGGCGGCAUGCUUUACACAUGCAAGUCGAACGGCAGCAUGAUCUAGCUUGCUAGAUUGAUGGCGAGUGGCGAACGGGUGAGUAAUACAUCGGAACGUGCCCUGUAGUGGGGGAUAACUAGUCGAAAGAUUAGCUAAUACCGCAUACGACCUGAGGGUGAAAGUGGGGGACCGCAAGGCCUCAUGCUAUAGGAGCGGCCGAUGUCUGAUUAGCUAGUUGGUGAGGUAAAGGCUCACCAAGGCGACGAUCAGUAGCUGGUCUGAGAGGACGAUCAGCCACACUGGGACUGGGACACGGCCCGGACUCCUACGGGGGGCAGCAGUGGGGAAUUUUGGACAAUGGGGGCAACCCUGAUCCAGCAAUGCCGCGUGUGUGAAGAAGGCCUUCGGGUUGUAAAGCACUUUUGUCCGGAAAGAAAUCGCACUUACUAAUAUUAGGUGUGGAUGACGGUACCGGAAGAAUAAGGACCGGCUAACUACGUGCCAGCCGCCGCCGUAACAC